rnacentral:rRNA from 1 species
UACGUAGGGGGCAAGCGUUAUCCGGAUUUACUGGGUGUAAAGGGGGCGCAGACGGCGACGCAAGCCAGGAGUGAAAGCCCGGGGCCCAACCCCGGGACUGCUCUUGGAACUGCGUGGCUGGAGUGCAGGAGGGGCAGGCGGAAUUCCUGGUGUAGCGGUGAAAUGCGUAGAUAUCAGGAGGAACACCGGUGGCGAAGGCGGCCUGCUGGACUGCAACUGACGUUGAGGCCCGAAAGCGUGGGGAGCAAACAGG